GGGACGAACAAACGGCCAGCAGUCCCAGCCCAGCUGGGGGGAUCCUGCGGAAAUACCGCGCUCCGUGCCAGGGCUUUGGACGCAAAGAAGUAUUUUCCUGCCGUAAGGGUUAAACUAGCUUUUACCAGUGAGUAAGGGCCCAGCCCUGCCAUGUGUGCAUCUCAAAGGUGCCUGCCAAGACAAGGGGGAACAGGCAAAGUUUUUCUUCAUCAUAGCCCACCAUGGACGUUUGCCCUUGAAGGGGACCGGGGGGACAGUGCCUGCCAGGGACAGGACACUGUUGCAGGGCAGACCAGCAGGCAUGGGAAGGUCAGCAAUUUGGCUGAGGCAGCUGCUUUAUCUUGUUCCAAGAGCUGGGAGAGCCACAGGCCUUCUCCAAGCACGCACCUCCCAGGGGAUUUGCCCUUGAGGCACUGACCUGCUUCUACUGUCCCAGGGAAAACAAGUCCAGACUCACUUUUAUAUCGACCAUGUCUGUUGUCUGCCCAUGCCUGGCAGUGGGGGCUGGCUACAAACUGCAGCCCAUGGGUUUCAGCUCAGCCACUGGGGACCCACAACAGCCCAAGAGAAAGGCGUGAACACCCCAGAGCCAUGUCAAGCACCUGAGUGAUGAAAGCAUUCCAUCCCUGGCUGCCAGAGACAAAUUAAGGUACCUUGGUUUGAACACCACAUCUCACCCUCUGCUCCAUAAAUAAACCUGUGAGGCACAUGGCAUCCCCUGGGUCCCCAUGGCACAAAGCUGGCACACAGCAGGCAGGCACAGGUGUCACAGCUGCCACCAGUGCAGAGAAGAGGCAAUUAGCAGGUAGUGAAAAAGCUCCUGCUCUCCCUGUUCAGCCCCCAUUGUGCAAAUCCUGCCCCAAUUAAAGCCCCCUCUUUGCUUUCAGAUAUUGCUAGGAGAGAAUAAUUCACCCUAAAACAAGGUAUUUCCAGCAGGUCAACAAGACAAAGCCAACUCUCAGUUUGCAAAAGGCUCUGGCACCUGCCUGGGAGCAUUUAAUUACCCUGACAAUGGCAUCAAGAGAAGAAGGGCCAUGAGACCCCUUCAAUCACAAAUUCACAGAGGAGGCACGGCUUUGCCUGCUGCUCCCACAUGCCUGGGGCCAGAAGCACCUGCAGGCUGCAGCCUCUUCCUAAGAGCUGAACUAUCAUCCAGCCCUCUUAGGGACACCUUUUUCCCCUCAGAGCCUGCAAUGCUGCACAGGGUACUGGCUUUUUUAUGUUGUGCUUUUCCUUUGUCCUUUGCACCGCUCUUAUGCCAAUAAAUGCACAUUAUAAAAAAACAAA